GGCAAUGGCCAUGGAGGAGCUGCGGCGAGGGCUGUCCCGCUGGAAGCGCUACCACAUCAAGGUACACCUAGCCGACGAGGCAUUGCUACUGCCACUGACCGUGCGGCCCCGAGACACACUGAGUGACCUGCGCGCACAGCUAGUGGGCCAGGGUGUAAGCUCUUGGCGCAGAACCUUCUACUACAACUCUAGGCCUCUGCCUGACCAUCAGACAGUUCGCGAAGCUCGCCUGCAGGACGGCUCAGUAUUACUUCUGCUCAGCGACACCAGGUAGGAAAUGGAGGAGAUGGAGCGAUGAUUUUAGGGACACAAGAUGCUGGCUGAAGGAGCAAACUGGCCCAGGCACCACAUCUCUCUCUUCCUGGGAGUCCAGUCGUACUUCAGGUGCUGGGCUUCCAGAGAGAUGCCAACUCCCCAGCCCUGCUGAUGCCCACUGCCUCUGGUGUUCCUGAUGGUGACUUCUGACAUUGUCGUCCAGCCCUCCAUCCCCCCAACCCCGGCAAGGAACCUUCUGGUUGCUCUGUGGCCUUAGGACCCUCCCUUGGGAGCCUCUGCUGCCUGGAUCGACCUCUGUCCAUCCCCAGAGCACAGCCUCCUCGGGGAAGCUCAACAGGCACACUUCCUUCUUUGGAGGACCCACGGGGCUCCAGCUACGAACAGAACAGGAGGACACUCUGAUCCAGGGGGGUCUUGAUCAGAGAACCAAGGCCUGAGGUCCCAAAGCCACAAUGUGGAGAGCAUGUGACCUCUCUCCAACAGUCAUCAGAAGCCAACAUGAACAGAACCUGUGACCCACAAAGAAAAGGUGACAUGAGGAGGCUCCAGGCCUGUGAUAGCUUGCAACAGCACAGGGGAAUUGUGGUGCUGAAGGCCAGGCUGCUGAGUGUGAGCCCCCCACAAGCUCACCCUGUUCCUUAUGUCCUGAGAUCUCCCUGAAUUCCUGCCACAGGACCAUCAGUUUUUUUUUUUUCCCACUCCACCUUCUUUUUGUUUUUUAUAGACUCCUAUUUAUUCUACCUUCAGUGCCCCAUUUAUACACAGCCAUUCCUGAUACUCCAGUGAUAGCCUCCAGUGUCCUCCGGGUCCCUGCUAUGCCAGCACUAUGCUCCUGUCCUAGGCCUGAGUCAUGAGCCCAGGUUAGGUAGGAGGCUCAUUCCAUCUCUGUGAACUCACUUCAGGAGACCCAAGGUCAUGUUCCUACUCCGGGCUCUAGGUGCAGAGGUGCCAUUUUGAAUGUGUUAUCAAAUAAAGACUGACAACAAAGCAGGA
rnacentral:lncRNA from 1 species